rfam:Asian citrus Psyllid, Diaphorina citri - Florida Strain, whole genome shotgun sequence.
GGCAGUGGUGAUAGAACUUUCAAUGUAUCAGUUCUCGAUGGAUCACUUCAGUUAAUCAACUUUACUCGUGGUAGGUAUCCGAAUGGGUGACCAUCUUGGCAAUCGCGUGCUGCUGACU